rnacentral:rRNA from 1 species
UGAACGCUAGCGACAAGGCGUUAACACAAUGCAAGUCGAGGGGUAACAGGGUAGCGAAUACCGCUGAGACCGGCGCACGGGUGAGUAACGCGUAUGCAACCUGCCUAUAACUGUGGGAAUAGCUCCCUGAAAGGGGGAAUUAACAACCGCAUAACACUAUUGAUUCGCAUGGAUUGGUAGUUAAAUGUAGCGAUACAGGUUAUAGAUGGGCAUGCGUGACAUUAGCUAGUUGGUGAGGUAACGGCUCACCAAGGCUACGAUGUCUAGGGGUUCUGAGAGGAAGGUCCCCCACACUGGUACUGAGACACGGACCAGACUCCUACGGGAGGCAGCAGUGAGGAAUAUUGGUCAAUGGGCGCAAGCCUGAACCAGCCAUGUCGCGUGCAGGAAGACUGCCCUAUGGGUUGUAAACUGCUUUUAUAGUAGAAGAAACACAUCUACGUGUAGAUGUCUGCCAGUAUACUAUGAAUAAGCAUCGGCUAACUCCGUGCCAGCAGCCGC